rnacentral:rRNA from 1 species
UACGUAGGGUGCAGGCGUUAAUCGGAAUUACUGGGCGUAAAGCGUGCGCAGGCGGUUCGUUGUGUCGGCGGUGAAAGCCCCGGGCUCAACCUGGGAAUGGCCGUUGAAACUGGCGAACUGGAGUGUGGCAGAGGGGGUGGAAUUCCGCGUGUAGCAGUGAAAUGCGUAGAGAUGCGGAGGAACACCGGUGGCGAAGGCGGUUCUCUGGACCACUACUGACGCUGAGGCACGAAAGCGUGGGAGCAAACAGG